rnacentral:rRNA from 1 species
CGUGGGUGACCUGCCCUCGAGUGGGGAAUAACGCUGCGAAAGCAGCGCUAAUACCGCAUAAUCUCACGGCUUCACGCCGUGAGCAAAGCUUGAUGUGCUGGAGGAGGGGCCUGCGGCGGAUUAGCUAGUCGGUGGGGUAAUGGCCUACCGAGGCGACGAUCCGUAGCUGGUCUGAGAGGAUGACCAGCCACACUGGGACUGAGACACGGCCCAG